AGCAUCAUGGCGCAGCGGAAGCGCGCAGGGCUCAUAACCCUGAGGUCACUCGAUCGAAACGAGUUGAUGCUA
rnacentral:tRNA from 1 species